CAGAGGUAUUGGAAGCUAUCUACAAAUCAGCCAUCUAGUGGAAAAUGGGGCAUCACAGCUUUCAGUUCACAGCUCACUUCCAGAAUCUCCUUCCAGCUAAUGUUCUUCAAAUGGCCAGCUCCAGGCUUCCAGGGGCCUUGGGGAUACCGAAGAUACCCCAGCAAGACUGCCAGUCGCAACCAAAGAAGCCAAUGCAUUCUUCCAGGCAGAUCUUGAGACCCUUCCCUCUCAUCUAAGAUCAGAUCAGAUAGGGUGACAGUUCUGUGAGUCCCUCAAUAGUAUCUCGUUCAGUUCAAUUCUUUGCCAGAGACACCAAGAACCUGGACACCGCGCCAAGGAGGGCCCACUCUCCGAUAAUAAUCUGAGACCACGAGAAAAGCUCAGGGGCAGAGCUUUACCCCAAUUCCGAUAUAAAGCUGAGAUGGGGACAAGACACUGCAUUGAGAAGCUUGGAACAGCAGGGAAAAUCAAAGGAGUGAUUUCAGACUUUCUCCUUCAUCCCAGAACCAGUGGGUGAAUUAACCAUAGGGCUACGAAGUGAUUUAAUUGCU